rnacentral:rRNA from 1 species
GACGAACGCUGGCGGCGUGCCUAAUACAUGCAAGUCGAGCGAGACUCUUCGGAGUCUAGCGGCGGACGGGUGAGUAACACGUGGGCAACCUGCCUGUAAGACUGGGAUAACACCGGGAAACCGGUGCUAAUACCGGAUAAUCCUUUUCCUCUCAUGAGGAAAAGCUGAAAGUCGGUUUCGGCUGACACUUACAGAUGGGCCCGCGGCGCAUUAGCUAGUUGGUGAGGUAACGGCUCACCAAGGCGACGAUGCGUAGCCGACCUGCGAGGGUGAUCGGCCACCCUGGGACGGAAACACGGCCCAGACUCCGACGGGAGGCAGCAGUAGGGAAGCUUCCACAAUGGACGAAAGUCUGAUGGAGCAACGCCGCGUGAGCGAUGAAGGCCUUCGGGUCGUAAAGCUCUGUUGUUAGGGAAGAACAAGUACCGGAGUAACUGCCGGUACCUUGACGGUACCUAACCAGAAAGCCACGGCUAACUACGUGCCAGCCGCCGCCGUAACAC